rnacentral:rRNA from 1 species
ACGAACGCUGGCGGCUGCUUAACACAUGCAAGUCGAACGGAGUGGCGAACGGGUGAGUAACGCGUGAGCAACCUGCCUAUGACAGUGGGAUAGACUCGGGAAACCGGGAUUAAUACCGCAUAGUAAUAGAUGGGCUCGCGUCUGAUUAGCUAGUUGGCGAGAUAACAGCCCACACAGGCGACGAUCAGGAGCCGGUCUGGGAGGAAGAACGGCCACAUUUGAACUGAGACACGGUCCAAACUCCUACGGGAGGCAGCAGUUGGGAAUAUUGCACAAUGGGGGAAACCCGGAUGCAGCGACGCCGCGUGAACGAAGAAUGUAUUCGUAUCGUAAAGUUCUGUCCUAUGGGAAGCAGUACCAUAGAAGAAAGCUCCGGCUAAAUACGUGCCAGCAGCCGCGGUAAUAC